UAAAGUUAAUUACAUGAUGGUUGCUGUUACUGAGCAGUUCAGCUAUAGUCACCUCUUGGACCUUAUUAUGUGCACCACUUAGGACUAAAUCAAGAAUUGUCUCUCUCCUUGUGAGUUCCGGGACUAGCUGCUCCAACAAGCAGUCAUUAAUGGCAUCUAAACAUUUUAUCUCUGCAUCCCAUCCUGAGGUUACAUGUUCCCAGUCAAUAUGAGGAUAGUUGAAAUCCCCCAUUAUUAUUGGGUUUUCUGUUUUUGAAGCU